rnacentral:tRNA from 1 species
GAGGGUAUAGCUCAGUGGCAGAGUGCAUGCCUGACAUACACAAGGUCCUGGGUUCAAUCCCUAGUACCUCA